UAAGGUUUCUAUCAGUUUACUUCAGGGUCAUUUUGAGCUGAACAAACACACCUGAGGACUCCACUCAGUCACUGCAGGUAAAAUGAAAAUCCAGGUGAAGGUAAAUGGACCCAGAGGAGAGGAGAAGGUCAUCGAUCUGUGCGACAGUGAAGAGCAGCUGAAGAGGUUCACUGUAAUGCAACUGAAGGAGAAAAUUACUAAAGAACUCGUGAUAGGGGAAGACAUCCGGAUGGUCUUCAGGACCGAGCAGCUGCAGGAAUCAUCCCUGCUGUUGUCCUAUGGGAUUAAACACUUGUCCACCAUCCACACACUGCUGAUGCUGCCUGGAGGCAUCUGAUGUGGACCAGACGCAGAAGAAAAGAUCACAGACUGUAAACCACCUCAACUAGACUAAUAAUAUAUUAUGCAUCAAACAAACAUUUGUAAAAACAAAUAAAAUGUAUUAAACUCA